AGGACGAACGCUGGCGGCGUGCCUAACACAUGCAAGUCGAGCGGGGACAUUGCGACGGAGACGAAGUACUCGUACGGAGUCAAAGAUGUAAUGUUCUAGCGGCGGACGGGUGAGUAACGCGUGAGCAACCUGUCCCUUACAGGGGGAUAACACAGCGAAAGUUGUACUAAUACCGCAUAAGACCACAGGAUGACAUCGUCCAGGGGUCAAAGGAGCAAUCCGGUAAGGGGUGGGCUCGCGUCCGAUUAGAUAGUUGGUGAGGUAACGGCCCACCAAGUCGACGAUCGGUAGCCGACCUGAGAGGGUGAUCGGCCACAUUGGGACUGAGACACGGCCCAAACUCCUACGGGAGGCAGCAGUGGGGAAUAUUGGGCAAUUGGGGGGAAACCCUGACCCAGCAACGCCGCGUGAGGGAAGAAGGUUUUCGGAUCGUAAACCUCUGUCCCAGGUGAAGAGGAAGAGACGGUAGCCUGGGAGGAAGCCCCGGCUAACUACGUGCCAGCCGCAGC
rnacentral:rRNA from 1 species